rnacentral:rRNA from 1 species
CCUACGGGAGGCAGCAGUGGGGAAUAUUGCACAAUGGGGGAAACCCUGAUGCAGCGACGCCGCGUGAGUGAAGAAGUAAUUCGUUAUGUAAAGCUCUAUCAGAAGGGAAGAAAAUGACGGUACCUGAGUAAGAAGCCCCGGCUAACUACGUGCCAGCAGCCGAGGUAAUACGUAGGGGGCAAGCGUUAUCCUGAUUUACUGGGUGUCAAGGGAGCGUAGACGGCAGUGCAAGUCUGGAGUGAAAGGCGGGGGCUCAACCCCCGGGAUUCUCUGGACACUGUACGGCGGGAGGGCAGGAGAGGUAAGUGGAAUUGCUAGGGGAGCGGGGAAAGGCGUAGAUAUUAGGAGGAACACCAGUGGCGAAGGCGGCUGACUGGACUGUAACUGACGUUGAGGCUCGAAAGCGUGGGGAGCAAACAGGAUGAGAUACCCUUGUAGUC